rnacentral:rRNA from 1 species
UAGGGAAUAUUGGACAAUGGGCGAAAGCCUGAUCCAGCGACGCCGCGUGAGGGAUGAAGGCCUUCGGGUUGUAAACCUCUGUUGUUAGGAAAGAAGCCGGGUGCAUAACCCGGUGACGGUACCUAACGAGGAAGCCCCGGCUAACUACGUGCCAGCAGCCGCGGUGAGACGUAGGGGGCAAGCGUUGUCCGGAUUCACUGGGCGUAAAGGGCGCGCAGGCGGUUCCGUAAGUCAGGCGUGAAAUACCACGGCUCAACUGUGGAAUCGCGUCUGAUACUGCGGUGACUUGAGGGCGGUAGAGGCAGAUGGAACUAGCGGUGUAGCGGUGAAAUGCGCAGAUAUCGCUAGGAACGCCGGUGGCGAAGGCGAUCUGCUGGGCCGUUCCUGACGCUCAGGCGCGAAAGCUAGGGGAGCGAACCGGAUUAGAUACCCGCGUAGUCC